rnacentral:rRNA from 1 species
GUCUUUUUGAAUAAUAUUUAUUUAAAGUCUAAUCUGCUCACUGAAUUAAAAUUUAAAGAGCCGCAGUAUUUUAACUGUGCAAAGGUAGCAUAAUAAUUUGUUUUUUAAUUGAAAACUAGAAUGAAUGAUUGAACGAGAUAUAUACUGUCUCAAUUUUAAUUUAAUAUAAAUUAAUUUUUUAGUUAAAAAGCUAAAAUUGAUUUAAAAGACGAGAAGACCCUAUAGAUUUUUAUAUAAUUAUCAAUUAAUUUAUAUAUAUAUAAAUUUAUUUAUAUUUAUUGAUAAUUGUAUUUUAUUGGGGUAAUAAAAAAAUUAAAAAAACUUUUAUUAAAUAAAAACAUAAAUUAAUGAAAAUUUGAUCCAAAUUUAAUGAUUAAAAGAUUAAAUUACCUUAGGGAUAACAGCGUAAUUUUAAUUUUAAGUUCUUAUUGAAAUUAAAGAUUGCGACCUCGAUGUUGGAUUAAGAAAAAUUUUAAAAGUAGAUUUUUAAAUUUUAGGUCUGUUCGACCUUUAAAAUCUU